AAUACCUACACACCUGCGCAUUCCUUUUCUCUCCUCCUCCUCCUCCUCUGUUGCUUACUCGGUAUUCCUCGAAUGGAGGUUUCUUGCUCCAUCCCGAUCUCAUGAACCGCUUCUUCCCACCGAGCGCUUGAUCAUGCCAAGCAAGAUGUGAUCUCACGGAUGUGAUUUUCCUUUUUCUGGGCGUUCCUCUGACCGAUUUCGAGGGUUCAAUUUCCAGUUCGUCGGACCAGUUUUCAAUCGAGGGCAUGAAAGGCCAUUUGGAUCGGACCAAGGUGGUUCUACGGCACUUGCCGCCGUCGAUUACGCAGGGUAUGCUCAUGGACCAGAUCGAUACCGCGUUCGGGGGCCGCUACAACUGGUUCUCUUUCCGCCCCGGCAAGAGCAGCCUGAAGAACCAGGUCUAUUCAAGAGCCUACAUCAAUUUUAAGAGACCUGAGGAUGUUAUUGAAUUUGCCGAGUUUUUUGAGGGGCAUGUGUUUGUGAAUGAGAAAGGUACUCAGUUCAGGACUAUAGUCGAAUAUGCUCCUUCACAACGUAUGCCAAAACUGACAUCUAAAAAAGAUGGCCGUGAAGGGACCAUUAUGAAAGAUCCUGAGUACUUGGAAUUUCUUGAAUUUAUUGCAAAGCCAGUUGAGAAUCUUCCAAGUGCAGAGAUACAAUUGGAGAGACGUGAGGCGGAGCGAUCUGGUAUUGGAAAAGAAGCACCUGUAGUGACUCCUUUGAUGGAUUAUGUUCGCCAGAAGAGGGCUUCAAAGGGUGGAUCUCGGAGGUCAAUCGCUAAUGAGAAAAUGAGUGGAAGAGGUGGAAGAUCGUCCACUGGAAGCUCUAGCUCUGCACCAUCGAAACGAAAUUCUGAAAAGAGAAAAAGUUCUACUGCAAUGUAUAUUUUAAGAGAUGCUUCGAGGGGCAGUAGUGGCAAAGACAAGUCCACUUACAUUCUGUCUUCCAAGCGAGAUGAUCCUCAACUUUCUGACAAAGCUAAUCCUUCAGUAGUGGCAAGUGGAGCUGGACAAGCGGAAGAUGACAAUGGGACUAUUGGAAUUGGAAUUGCUGGUGCUGGGAAAAAGAAGAUUUUGCUUUUGAAGGGGAAGGAGAGAGAAAUUUCUCAUGUCCCUGGUGGUGUAUCGCAGGAGCAGUGUCAACUAAAAGAUGUGAUAGGUUUGGCCACUGACAAGCAGAAACAGCGGCAUGACGGUAGUCGGAUAAUUAGAACCAUACUUUUGAACAAAGAUGCACGCCAAAAUCAAUCAGGAGUGCCAUCUGAAACUCAAACACAGACUUUGCAUCCAGGAAAAGAAAGGAGGCCUCCUCGAGCCCCGAGCGUACAAGCAGUUUCAAAAGAUACAAAUGGUUCUCCUGAUGAGAAGGUCCAUGGGAAUGGCCUGUCUGGUUUUGGUAGUGAAAAGAUGGAAAGACGUGCAAGAAAUAAAGAUAGGCCCGAUCGUGGUGUAUGGGCUCCUCUCCGUCGUUUAGAUGGAUCCCAUGCAAGUGAUUCAUCGUUCUCUGCUGCUGCUGCACAUUCAACCUUAGAUUCCCCAGAGGGUUUCCGCAAAACUGUUGGUCGCCGGGGACCGUCUCAGGGUGGGAAAGAUAAUGAUGGCUUACCGCUUACAAGUGAACUGAAGUCUUCAAAAAGAGGAAGUGCUUCUGGCUAUAGUUCCCAUGAGAAGCAAGUGUGGGUUCAAAAGUCAAGUUCCGGAUCUUAGUGUCUGAAAAGUGUUUAUUAGGGCUUGAAUUCUCUUAGAAGAUGCAUGUAAAGAGUGAUUCUGUUUGUGUGAUAUGUUGCAAGCAAAGGCGAUCCAGUGGAGUGAAAUGCUUGGUGUAUUGUGAAAUUGAUCACGCAUAUCCGCUAGUGGCUGGAGGCUCGUCUCUUUUGCUGGACAGGUGGUCAGAGUGGAAAAGGCUUUGGCAGCAAAAAUGGUUUCUCGCGAAGAAACUGUUGGUUGGUACGGCUCGAAGGGGGGAGGAUGGAGAUGUUGUUGUAAUUAACAGUUGGGUGGGUGAGUUGAAUAACCUGGAUUAUUACUACGCAAGGCUGAUUUGGAUUAGUUGGAAAGAGAAGGAGAAAGAUAUCGUCACCUAGGAACGUACAUAAGUUACAACAGAUCCUAUCCCAGUAUCUUUCGGAGGGAUUCUUACCAUUGCUGAAGGAGCUACAGAUAACAUUCUUGCCAUCGACUCUAAUGAGGGGAGCGUGAUAUUUUAGCUCAUAGGAUAAGGUUCUUGGUUGGACUGUAAAUACGAAUGCGGAGCAAAUGGUGUUACUGCCUCUGCUCUUGUCAGUUGUACAUCUUUGUUGGGCAGAAUGUCAUACUCUAGUUAUGGUGUGUAGUUGCUCUAGCCCAUUUUGUUUAAUGGCUUUCUUAAUUGGGGUUCUUGUCGAAUAGAGAAAGAUAUAUGUCGGGGGAUGCUCUUUCGAAUUGUAUCCUCGAAAUGUUGUCUAUGUGGAGAAUGUUGAUAUGGAGUUGGAUAUCGGAUGGCACUUUGUUUUGGAGUUU